UUUAGUUGUUGAUAUCAUUGUUUACUCAGCAACUAAACUAUUCAUCUAUUGGAAUUUAACUCGUGGAAAAUUCAGUAAUAAGUUGGACCACGUUCUUUUCCCAUCAACAAGCUCCUUCAUUAUUGAGGUCACCGCGUCUUUUGAUACACGAACUUGUUAUUUGUUAUCGCACUCUCGAAUGGUGACCUUAAAAUUUUCACGAACAGUGAUGGCGAAAGGAAUGCCACACUCAUCGUUUGCCUCGUAUUUCUGCUUUAAGCCUUUGAAGUUCAUAAAUUUCACAUCUAGGGCACAGUAGCAUAUGAUAAGCCAAUAUAACUUUGGUGCUUUCAUUGAGGAUAAGAAAAUACAGUAACAAAGAUGUGCAAAAAAAAUUAUUUUACGCAAGAAAUUAAGAAUCAAAAUUCUAUAUUGGAUAAGUACAUUUAAUGUUUUUAGCCUCUCUGACAUUAGCAGCAAUCAAUUUGCUGCGAAUAUUUGCAGCCACAUCCUUUCAUUCUGCAUUAUUUCUCCAAAGGAAAACUGAAUAGUCGCAAUGUGCCAUACUCAGAGGAAAGCAGAACACGCUCAAGCACUAUAUAACUUAUACGUCCAAUGUCAAAUGAGGAUUCAAUAACAGAUGGUACACAACUCCUCAGAUUCUCCCCUAUAUUUUGCACCUCUCCUAUAGGUUCUAAUGCAACCCUCAAAUGAAAAGGAGGCAUGGAAAGGAGAGUUGUGGCGUACCAGUUUGCGACCCGCAGCGGAGAAUGAAGGAUUGAGGAUGGUACUUCCGGUGACGGCGAAGUUGACUCCAUGCUCAAUGGAAAGAUUUUUGCCCAACGAGGGAUCCAAAAGAGAGAGGCCAAGAACUAUGGCUGCAAAACAACAGGGAUCGUUUUAAAUCCUAGGUGAUCAUCAGUAUCAUAGUUUUACCUGAUAUCCAUUGUCUCGGGAGGGUGUUGGGUUAUUUUGAUCCCGUACUGAAGUAGUCAACUAUGAGGCGGCCAUCAGAGAAGUGACCGGUGGGCUUGCCGAGAGUCUCGCCAUAAGGGAGAUCAGCAGCCUGGGAGCCAGAGCCGUUGGGACCCCUGAUGCGGAUGAGGUUGUUGGUGUCGGAGGUUGAGUCUCCAAACUGGUAUAUGGCGUCGAUCGUACAAGGACGAGCAGCUUCGCCGUGAACACGGCCCGUGGAGGAUAACAAGAAGGAGGCGAAGGUGAGAAGAAGAAAAUGGAGAGUGAUCUUUGAGGACAUCAUGAUGGCGUGGAUGGCUUGUCCUUGCAUGGAGAGGACAGGGAUAUAUGCCCGCUUACCUUGUUGGGAAAUCGUUAAAGCUCCGAUGAUUUAUACAUAUACAGAGAGAGAGAACCUAUUCUUCUUUUUACUUCGUAGCCACAUGUAGCUCAAAACGAAAGAGUAGGUUAGAAGUUUUAAAUUCGAUUUCUCCCACCAUUUGAAGUCAAACGCAGAGGUGGGAUCAGUUCUAUCCAAAAUAGUUUUGCUAAUGUUACCGUUGACUUUGAUUUAUUUAUGUCAAAGUUCUCAUCAUUUUAUUUGAGAAAAUAAUAUAAAUGGUUUGUAAUUUUUAAUAUGUUUAAUAUGAUCUCCAAAUUUUAACCCA